UACUAUGAUGAUAAUAUGAUAAGUUGCUUGAAGAUGAAAUAAUCACUGUGAGCACAAUGAUUUCUCAAAGACUACAACGGUAUCUGAAU
rnacentral:snoRNA from 1 species